rnacentral:tRNA from 1 species
GGUUGUUGCUCAGUGGUAGAGUGCUCACCUAGCAUGUGCGAGGCCCUGGGUUUGAUCCUCAGCACCA